GGCGGACGGGUGAGUAACGCGUAAGAACUUGCCCUUUAGACUGGGAUAACAGAGGGAAACUUCUGAUAAUACUGGAUAAGUUAGUAUAUCGCAUGAUAUGCAAAUGAAAGCUACGGCACUAAAGGAGAGCUUUGCGUCCUAUUAGCUAGUUGGUAAGGUAAGAGCUUACCAAGGCGGUGAUAGGUAGCCGGCCUGAGAGGGUGGACGGCCACAAGGGGACUGAGAUACGGCCCUUACUCCUACGGGAGGCAGCAGCA
rnacentral:rRNA from 1 species